rnacentral:rRNA from 1 species
GGGGAGAGGCAGAUGGAACUCUUGGUGUAGGAGUAAAAUCCGUAGAUAUCAAGAAGAAUACCUAUUGCGAAAGCGAUCUGCUAGAACCUAACUGACACUGAUGCACGAAAGCGUGGGGAGCAAACAGGAUUAGAUACCCUGGUAGUCCACGCCCUAAACGAUGUAUACCGGUUGUUGCUUUGCUAGUCAAGGCAGUAAUCCAGCUAACGCAUUAAGUAUACCGCCUGGGGAGUACGGUCGCAAGAUUAAAACUCAAAGGAAUAGACGGGGACCCGCACAAGCGGUGGAGCAUGUGGUUUAAUUCGAAGAUACGCGAAGAACCUUACCCGGACUUGAUAUCUAACAAAUCAUCCAGAGAUGGAAGAGUGUCUGCUUGCAGAAAUGUUAAGACAGGUGCUGCACGGCUGUCGUCAGCUCGUGUCGUGAGAUGUUGGGUUAAGGUCCCGCAACGAGCGCAACCCACGUAUUUAGUUGCUAACAGUUAGGCUGAGUUCUCUAAAUAGACUGCCUUCGUAAGGAGGAGGAAGGUGUGGACGACGUCAA